rnacentral:rRNA from 1 species
AAUCAACGCUGGCGGCGUGCCUCAGACAUGCAAGUCGAACGAUUAAAGCUCUCUUCGGAGAGUGUAUAGAGUGGCGCACGGGUGAGUAACACGUAAGUAAUCUACCUUCGAGUGGGAAUAACCGGGAACCCGAGCUAAUACCGCAUAAUGCAGCGGCAUCUAAUGAUGACAGUUGUUAAAGAUUUAUCGCUUGAAGAGGAGCUUGCGGCAGAUUAGCUAGUUGGUAGGGGUAAUGGCCUACCAAGGCGACGAUCGGUAGCUGGUCUGAGAGGACGACCAGCCACACUGGGACUGAGACACGGCCCAGACUCCUACGGGAGGCAGCAGUGGGGAAUAUUGGACAAUGGGCGCAAGCCUGAUCCAGCGAUGCCGCG